rnacentral:lncRNA from 1 species
UUUUUUGGAUUAGAUAAAUGUACUAGUUGGUCUGUCAAGAAACAUAUCCCUUUUGGUCUUUCAGUGUUCUCUAAUCGAAUUUGCUGGAUGUUUGGGACUGAAGAUGGAAUGACAGAGUAGAUCAAAAUUAUAUUACAAGUGUUGGAAGCCACUGCCACUACGUGGGCUUUAAGAUUAAAUGCUAUCAGAUCAGGAACCAGAAUGCCUGGAAUAGUGACUUUUCUUGUCAUGGUAACUGCCUUCUUAAAGGUCACAAGGACCAAAUGUGAAG